CUGCGUGUCAUCGUCUCGCUUCAGUAUUCCUGUUUAAUUCGUCGGUAGCUCCUCAGAGGGUGUUUGCGUUAAUGAUGGACGGCCGUAGUGGGAAGUUGCUAAUGUAUUAGUUGUGCAUCAUCAAGAGAAGAGAUCGCUAGACGGUCGGUAUAUCUGUGAGAUCGCUGCUGCGCCGUCCAAAAAUAGAUAAAUGAACGACGAGCAUGCUAUCCUUAUUGUCGGUGGUUCCACGCACUCUGUAACAAUGCAUGAUUAUUAAAAGGUUCGUGGCCAACGCCAGUGAGGAAUGGAGGUGUUCAAAACCAGUCAGGAGAUAGUGCAUGAAGGGUGGCUCAUUAAAUCACCACCUACAAAACUCUGGCGAGCGCGAUGGAGAAAACGUUGGUUUGCUCUUCGACAUAGUGGAGAAUUACCUGGACAAUAUUUUUUAGAAUAUUAUACAGAUAGACGUUGUAGGAAAUUGAAAGGUCGUAUUGAUCUUGAUCAAUGUGAACAGGUAGAUGCAGGCCUAAGAUUUGAAAAUAGAAAGCAGAAAUAUCAAUACAUGUUCAAUGUUAAAACACCGAAAAGGACAUAUUAUCUAGUAGCAGAAAGCGAAGCUGAUAUGAACAAGUGGGUAGACGCAGUUUGUCAAGUUUGUGGUUUAAAGGCAUACACUCAAGAUGAGGAUCAGCAAUGUCAAAUGUUCCAAUUUGAAACACAGGAAUCCCCUCCAAUUUCACCUAGUAGCACCAUCUCUGGUCCUUACAUUCCUAUUAGCGAAUGCAUUUCUGGACGACGCUUAAACGAUACUAGUUCUCUGAAUUCAGCUUUGGGACAAGGACCAGAGCAUUAUGAUGCUCCACGACGACUAGCUCCUUCUCCUCCUAGGUCUCCUACGACGACUGACGCAGAAAGUGUUUUUACCGACGAUGAAUGGACUGCUCCUGUGCCUAGUGUUAAUUGGGAAACGUUUCCUUCUUCGGGUGAAUCUAAACAACCGCCUAGCGAUGCAGAAAUUGGUUCUUGGAGCGUCAGAAAACGAUUUGGAAAGUUGAGGAUCGUUGAUUCAGCUGUGCCGCCAUCCGUAGACAAGUUACCAGCACCUCCUAGGCCACCAAAACCUCCUCACAUGUUACCUGAAAAUCCUGGACAUAAUUACCUAAAUUUAGAUGGUGCUACCGAAAGCUCAAAACCAACCACUCCAGCCACUCCUGCACCGUCUACACCGGCGACUGCAAUUGUAACAGAUGAAUCAUACGAUUUUCCAAGAUCUCAUCAACCAGGUCAAGCGCCUGACAUAAAUCCAGCUGAUCAGUCGUCUAAACAUUUUUAUUCGAAUGCUGCUCCUAGUACUGUGGAAGAUACGCGCGUAUUCCGUUACGAUUUUCAAGAAGAAGAACCAUCGAGUCCUCGUUCCGAAAGCUCGGCAACCGCUACGUAUUCAAAUUUACCGAGUCCUCUUGUUCGAGAUAAUUCAACUACGAUACCAACAACAGUGGCACCACCACCUCCGGUUGUUUAUCGAGAAUUAAAACCAGGAAGAAAAACUAGCGAUUCUAUGUCGAUCAUAAGCAACGAAGCUUCUCCGGGACCGAUAGCUUCGGCUUUGGAAAUGAGUUCUGCCGAACACUCUCCAGCUGAACCACCAAGUAUUAAUAGAAAACUGAAGCCUCCGUUAAAUAAAUCUCCUGUAGAAGGGCCGUUACAAUUAGCAUCUCCACCUGGAAGAGGAAGAAUUAGAGCAGCCCCCAGUCCUACGCCUCCAGUUCAUGUUCAUUUAAAUCGGCAUCAAUCAACGUCGGAUGAAGAUAACAAUAUUUUUGACGAUAAAGAAGAGAUAUACUAUUAUCAGGAUCAAAAUACAUUUAUUCCUGCUUCAAAGCGUCUUGUCGUUUUGCAAUAUUUAGAUCUUGAUUUGGAAGCAACAGAAAAUUUCUCAUCUUCCAGUUUACCACCAGCUCAGUCUCCGCCUAGUACAACAGUAUAUAAAACAGUAGAUUUUUUGAAAACUGAGGCGUUUAAUCGUACUCGCCAACGAGUCGAAGAGGAGAGAAAACAAUGCACGGACGAACUGGCCUAGCUUUAAAACGUAUAUUUUAAACUGUUAAAAUACAACGAAAAGGGGACAAGAAAAGUGAAUUACAAUUCUUAGAUGUCUAAAUAUCUUCGUGAUCAAUGGCAUAUGAUAGUUGAAGCCCGAAAAAGAGCAAUAUUCAAUGGACCAAAAAUGUAAUGUUAUAGUUAGAGAAAACGAUAAAGAGACGAAAAGAGCAAAAUUUUGCGAGACUUGUUAGAUCAGAAUCUGUUAUAGAAUUUUUAAUUAGAAGGGUAAGUAUUAUUAUAUUUAGGUACGGUUACCGUUUUUACGUAGGUUUUACGCGCGUUCGAUGCGGGAAAGGCAUUUUUUUUAUUAUUAACCGUACAACGAAUUAGGAAUGUAUGGUACCGCUGAAUUUUUUAGAUAUUCUAAUUUUAAGUA
rnacentral:misc_RNA from 1 species